CCUCACAGUGCCCUCUGUGUCGUCAUAUAAAAUAUGACAUCAGAAGGAAUCUUGGAAUUAAAUUCUCUUGCCUGACCCUUGAAGGGUUUCUGAAGCCCUGCUUCCUCUUCUUUUAAUAAACCAAAAGCAGCCCCUGGAUCACUGAGCCCCUGGAUCCCUGCUUUGAAUUAGUGACAGGCCUUGGCUGCCCCACAGGCCUUCUUCCAGGACACUGGCAGGACUUACCAUCCAGAGUACAGAGGGCAAAGAGACCUGAGCCACUAUUCUCACUGGAGCCUGAAAUCUGAUUUCAUUUACUGCUGAAAAAACAGCAGGGGCAACUGCUGGGCUGGAGACCCCAGGCUGCUGAUCUCUCACCUCGGGCAAUGCUACCAAUCAGAUGAGUGGAGACAUUCUUAUUGUGAAUCCGCCCAGACGUCUGGUGUAGAAUCACAUCUCGAACAGGGGCCUCACUGAGAAAAAGAGAAAGACAACAGGGAAAAGUUAGGGAACCACACCUGGGACUGUCUCAGAGGAAUUCCAGGAGCGGUGUAUUCCAACGCUCUACAAAUCCAGACAGUGACAGAGUUUGUGAAGAGGUUGAGCCCUUUAACAGUAAAGGAAGAAAAUGCAUGCCAUCCCAGGUAUUAAAGAAAUAUACUGAUUUUUAAAAACAGAAACCCAGAAUGAUUUCAUGCAUUAAAAAAAAAAAAAAGAGCUCAAAUAAAGAAAAAUCAGUAAGGCCUGUAUUCCAA